rnacentral:lncRNA from 1 species
UCCUUGAUCCUUUCUUCAAGAUUGUCUUGAAGUAUAUGUAUCCACAAUAAUUCUUUCACAAGACUUAAACAAUAUGUGAAUGGUUUCACAACAAUAAUAAUAUUAUGACAAUAACCAAAGUUGGUGUAUGGUUUUCCACAAGAAUUUGCAAGACAACAACAAUGGAGUUUUUACUCUUGAUUCAAUUGGAGGAAGAAGAGUUUGUCUUGCAAUAAUGUGGGAAUCAUAACCCCCACUUUAUAACAAAAGAGUUACAUAACCCAAGAGUCACAAGAGUUACAUAACUCAAGAGUCACAAGCAUGUAACCAUGGUUACAUAUAN